GGGUCGUCCAGAAAACCGGAGCGAGUCGGCCAGCGCGGGUCGGCAGUGGAGCGGGUCAACCAGACACCGUUUUCUUCAUGAAUGCACUAUGAUAGUGUCUGUGUAUGUCCUUGUCACAUGUGUAUUUCAUUUUGUUAAUGCUGCAUGUAUGACUCAGAAUAUAAUUUUGUCUCUGUAGAUUAAGAAGAAAAAGAAAGUGGUUUCAAAGAACAAUGAUGAAGAAGAGCUGGCAAGAGCUAUAUAAAAGGAAAUGAAAGAGAAGACCCCUGUGGCUUCACAAGAAGAAGCAUGUAUUUUGAGUCCUGAGAGUGAAGAUGAUGAUGAAGUAAUGGACAAGAGCAUGCAGAUUGCAUUGGUAACUUUGUGGCCAGGGGUGGCCAUAACAGUUUGGCAAAAGAGGUUA